rnacentral:rRNA from 1 species
AUUGAACGCUGGCGGCAUGCCUUACACAUGCAAGUCGAACGGUAACAGGUCUUCGGAUGCUGACGGGUGGCGAACGGGUGAGUAAUACAUCGGAACGUGCCUAGUAGUGGGGGAUAACUACUCGAAAGAGUGGCUAAUACCGCAUGAGAUCUACGGAUGAAAGCAGGGGAUCGCAAGACCUUGUGCUACUAGAGCGGCCGAUGGCAGAUUAGGUAGUUGGUGGGAUAAAAGCUUACCAAGCCGACGAUCUGUAGCUGGUCUGAGAGGACGAUCAGCCACACUGGAACUGAGACACGGCCCAGACUCCUACGGGAGGCAGCAGUGGGGAAUUUUGGACAAUGGGCGAAAGCCUGAUCCAGCAAUGCCGCGUGCAGGAUGAAGGCCUUCGGGUUGUAAACUGCUUUUGUACGGAACGAAAAGCCCCGGGUUAAUACCCUGGGGUCAUGACGGUACCGUAAGAAUAAGCACCGGCUAACUACGUGCCAGCCGCCGCAGUAA